rnacentral:lncRNA from 1 species
GCGCCACCUUGACACUGUUUCGAUGGUUUGGGCCGCAUGAGUGCAGCCCUGCUGGCCCUCCUUCAGGGCCUCAGCUUUUCUGAGCGUCGGUCGCCGAGCUGCCCCUCGGAAGCGGCUGCUGGUUUUGGCCGAGGCGGCUUUGGGCAGAAGGAAGUGGACGGGUGAUUCAUUUCAUAAAUGUUGGUUCCUCCAGAGAACUGAACAGAACCUGCGACCCUGCAGGUGCUUUUCAACAAGUGGAUGACUUCCAGGCCGCUCUAGCCAAUGAAGAUGGAGCAGGGACCCUGAGAUAGAAGGCUUCAUUUGGCAUGACUCAGCCUUGGAGACAUCCAUCCCCUUGGCCUGUGUUGUUGAGUGCCUGGUUCUGUAAAUAUUGGCAGUUAGAAACCAGCCUGAGAGCUACCAAGCAAUGAUCUGGAAGCCGUCUUCAUAUACACAGCUGCCUUCAACCUGUGUCCACGCAGGUCAAUUCCCAGUUCAUGAUGUCCUUUUAGCGAAUGGAAUGGUCCAGGUACUUGUGACAAAAUAUUGCACGGUGAAGUCUUUCCAUUGGAAUAAUUGACUGUAUUUCAUUUUGGUCCUUAAAAUAUAUAAACUUUGCCCAUCAAAUUUUGAGUUGGAGAAAAUUCGUUGAGGAGGCUAUUGUCAUCUGAAGACUCAUUGUCUGGAGUUUCCCUCAUACUAUCAAAUUCGUCAUUGUCCUUGGAGCCCAAGUCUGGCCGCCUCUGCCUUCAUCUUCUGAUUCAUUGAAGGAUUGUGAAACAUCUUCCUUUAUUUUUUCCUCUUUGCCAUGAUAAAUGGAGAGCAAAGGAAUUCACUGUCUUCUACUAUGUUUGAUGCAGGCUACAAAGAUGGUGUGUCCAGUCUUCUCUUAUUCCUUCUUAAAGAUGAUGCCAUACUUUUGGCAAUGCAAUGGGAAAGCCUUGAAUGAUGCAGUUGUGUUGAUUUAUCUCAUUAUUGCAUUAUCCUCUGAAUCCAGGUCAUUCCACAAUUCUUCUUCUUCUUUCAUAUUGGUCAGAAAAACUCAUGAGUAAUGAUGAAGUAGCAAAUGUUAUUCAAUGACAUGGGAAAAAUAAGCACCCUAAGUCACUUAGAUGUACAACAGGGUCCAAUGGAUGCUAUGGUAAUAUAGAAUUAAUCUUAUUUCUUUAAGAAAAAUAAGUAAUUUUUUUUCCUUUGGAAAACUUAUAAUAAAGAAUAAAAAUUAAGUGAUAACCAAUCCUUUCAAAAAAUAGAACUGCUCAAAAAAGAAACUCAAAAAUUAAAACUCGGGAGUUCUAUGGUGCAAUGGGUUAAGGAUCUGGCAUUUUCACUGCAGUGAUUUAGGUCACUGCUGUGGCUCGGGUUCAUUCUUUGGCCCAGGAACUUCCACAUGCUGUGGGCACAGCCAAAAAAAAAAAAAAAAAAAAA